ACAUCGCCUCUUGAAAAAAUAUAAGAGGUCCAGCCUGCCCAGUGACCUAGUUCAACGGCCGCGGUAUCCUAACCGUGCGAAGGUAGCGUAAUCACUUGUUCUUUAAAUGAGGACUAGUAUGAAUGGCAUCACGAGGGUUAAACUGUCUCCUUUUUCUAAUCAGUGAAACUAAUCUCCCCGUGAAGAAGCGGGGAUUAUUUUAUAAGACGAGAAGACCCUAUGGAGCUUAAAACAAACCUACAAUUGCUUUAAUAUGCUACCCUCCCGAGGACUCACAUAAAUUAUAGCAUAACUGAUAAUUAGUUUUCGAUUGGGGUGAUCAUGGAGAAAAAACCAACCUCCACGACGACAAGGGGAUACCCCUGAGCCAAAAGCCACAGCUUUCAGCACUAAAAAAUUAACGCACCUUGACCCAAUUAUUUGAGCAACGAACCAAGUUACCCUAGGGAUA
rnacentral:rRNA from 1 species